UGGGGAAUAUUGCGCAAUGGGCGAAAGCCUGACGCAGCGACACCGCGUGCGGGAUGAAGGCCUUCGGGUUGUAAACCGCUUUCGGCAGGGAAGAAGCGAAGGUGACGGUACCUGCAGAAGAAGCUCCGGCUAACUACGUGCCAGCAGCCGCGGUAAGACGUAGGGAGCGAGCGUUGUCCGGAUUCAUUGGGCGUAAAGCGCGCGUAGGCGGCUUUGCAAGUCGGUUGUGAAAACCAGAGGCUCAACCUCUGGCCUGCAUCCGAAACUGCAUCGCUUGAGGUAGGUAGGGGAGAUCGGAAUUCCUGGUGUAGCGGUGGAAUGCGCAGAUAUCAGGAGGAACACCGGUGGCGAAGGCGGAUCUCUGGGCCUUACCUGACGCUGAGGUGCGAAAGCUAGGGGAGCGAACAGGAUUAGAUACCCUGGUAGUCCUAGCCGUAAACGUUGGACACUAGGUGUGGGCGGCUAUCAACCCCGUCCGUGCCGAAGCUAACGC
rnacentral:rRNA from 1 species